rnacentral:rRNA from 1 species
GACGUAGGGCGCGAGCGUUUGUCCGGAUUUAUUGGGCGUAAAGAGCUCGUAGGCGGCUCGUUGCGUCAACCGUGAAAACCCGGGGCUCAACUCCGGGCCUGCAGUCGAUACGGGCUGGCUUGAGUGCGGUAGGGGGAGACUGGAAUUCCUGGUGUAGCGGUGAAAUGCGCAGAUAUCAGGAGGAACACCGGUGGCGAAGGCGGGUCUCUGGGGCCGAUACUGACGCUGAGGAGCGAAAGCGUGGGGGAGCAAACAGG